AGAUUUGAUUCUGGCUCAGGAUGAACGCUAGCUACAGGCUUAACACAUGCAAGUCGAGGGGCAGCAUUGGAGUAGCAAUACUCAGAUGGCGACCGGCGCACGGGUGAGUAACACGUAUCCAACCUGCCGCUUACUCGGGGAUAGCCUUUCGAAAGAAAGAUUAAUACCCGAUGGUAUAAAGAGUUCGCAUGUUCUCUUUAUUAAAGAAUUUCGGUAAGCGAUGGGGAUGCGUUCCAUUAGAUAGUUGGCGGGGUAACGGCCCACCAAGUCUACGAUGGAUAGGGGUUCUGAGAGGAAGGUCCCCCACAUUGGAACUGAGACACGGUCCAAACUCCUACGGGAGGCAGCAGUGAGGAAUAUUGGUCAAUGGACGAGAGUCUGAACCAGCCAAAAGUAGCGUGAAGGAUGACUGCCCUAUGGGUUGUAAACUUCUUUUAUAAGGGAAUAAAGUGAGGGACGUGUCCCUUUUUGUAUGUACCUUAUGAAUAAGGAUCGGCUAACUCCGUGCCAGCCGCCGC
rnacentral:rRNA from 1 species